AUGCAUUAUUAAUUACUAGGGGAGGCUAGAGAUAGCAAGCCAGUAAUUAGUAAUAGGCUCUUUUCGCCAAGAGAUUGGGUUUAGGGUAGACUAAGAAAGUUUGCAUGACAAUAUGAUAAAUAAGCAAAGUAGAUAAGAAGAGUAGAUAUAAGAGGGUGGAUAAGAUGAAAUUGUAAACCCCAACAACUCCAUUCAUCCAUAGUUUCUUCUAGCCAAUUGAUUCACUGCAUCUUGCAUGUUUAAUUUCAUCUUGCAUAC
rnacentral:lncRNA from 1 species